rnacentral:rRNA from 1 species
GAAUUUUGGACAAUGGGGGCAACCCUGAUCCAGCCAUGCCGCGUGAGUGAAGAAGGCCUUCGGGUUGUAAAGCUCUUUCGGCCGGAACGAAAUCGCACGGGUGAAUAGCUCGUGUGGAUGACGGUACCGGAAUAAGAAGCACCGGCUAACUACGUGCCAGCAGCCGCGGUAAUACGUAGGGUGCGAGCGUUAAUCGGAAUUACUGGGCGUAAAGCGUGCGCAGGCGGUUUGUUAAGCCAGAUGUGAAAGCCCCGGGCUUAACCUGGGAACUGCGCUUGUGACUGGCAGGCUAGAGUACGGUAGAGGGGGGUGGAAUUCCUGGUGUAGCAGUGAAAUGCGUAGAUAUCAGGAGGAACACCGAUGGCGAAGGCAGCCCCCUGGGCCUGUACUGACGCUCAUGCACGAAAGCGUGGGGAGCAAACAG